ACGGGAGGCAGCAGUGGGGAAUAUUGCACAAUGGGGGAAACCCUGAUGCAGCCAUGCCGCGUGUGUGAAGAAGGCCUUCGGGUUGUAAAGCACUUUCAGCGAGGAGGAAAGGUUGUUGGCUAAUACCCAGCAACUGUGACGUUACUCGCAGAAGAAGCACCGGCUAACUCCGUGCCAGCAGCCGCGGUAAUACGGAGGGUGCAAGCGUUAAUCGGAAUUACUGGGCGUAAAGCGCACGCAGGCGGUUGGAUAAGUUAGAUGUGAAAGCCCCGGGCUCAACCUGGGAAUUGCAUUUAAAACUGUCCAGCUAGAGUCUUGUAGAGGGGGGUAGAAUUCCAGGUGUAGCGGUGAAAUGCGUAGAGAUCUGGAGGAAUACCGGUGGCGAAGGCGGCCCCCUGGACAAAGACUGACGCUCAGGUGCGAAAGCGUGGGGAGCAAACAGGAUUAGAUACCC
rnacentral:rRNA from 1 species